GUCCUGAGCGAGCGGGCGCCGUGCGCGUGUCCCGCGGCCGAGCUGCUAAUAAAGUUGCGCUGUGGGCAAGCGCAGCUACGGCGCCGGGAGAGCGCGCGCCGCCGGCCCGAUUUGAACCAAUGAAAGAAGCUUAUGGCACUUAUGAAGAUAAAUGUCACUCUUCCCUUUUUAAUUGGAACUGUUGUUUAGGACUUGUAUAUGACUUUUCACUUGUGAUCUGACUUUGAGUUGCAGGAAGGUUUCUGAAGAUUUAAAUCAAAUGACGUCAAUGGCCAGCUUGUUUUCUUUUACUAGUCCAGCAGUAAAGCGAUUGUUGGGCUGGAAGCAAGGUGAUGAAGAGGAGAAAUGGGCAGAAAAGGCAGUCGAUGCUUUGGUGAAAAAGCUAAAAAAGAAAAAGGGUGCCAUGGAGGAACUGGAGAAAGCCUUGAGCAGUCCAGGACAGCCAAGCAAAUGUGUCACAAUUCCCAGGUCUUUAGAUGGACGCCUGCAGGUUUCUCACAGAAAAGGCUUGCCCCACGUUAUAUAUUGUCGUGUUUGGCGCUGGCCUGAUUUGCAGAGUCAUCAUGAGCUAAAGCCAUUGGAUAUUUGUGAAUUUCCUUUUGGAUCUAAGCAAAAGGAAGUUUGUAUCAACCCAUACCACUAUAAGAGAGUGGAGAGUCCAGUCUUACCUCCAGUAUUAGUGCCUCGUCAUAAUGAAUUCAACCCACAACACAGCCUUCUGGUUCAGUUUAGAAACUUAAGCCACAAUGAACCUCACAUGCCACAAAAUGCAACGUUUCCAGAUUCUUUCCAUCAGCCCAACAACACUCCUUUUCCCUUAUCUCCAAAUAGUCCCUACCCUCCUUCCCCUGCUAGCAGCACAUAUCCCAACUCCCCAGCAAGUUCUGGACCAGGAAGUCCAUUUCAGCUCCCAGCUGAUACUCCUCCUCCUGCAUAUAUGCCACCAGAUGAUCAGAUGGGUCAAGAUAAUUCCCAGCCCAUGGAUACAAGCAAUAAUUUGAUUCCUCAGAUUAUGCCCAGUAUAUCCAGCAGAGAUGUACAGCCUGUUGCCUAUGAAGAGCCCAAACAUUGGUGUUCAAUUGUCUACUAUGAAUUAAACAAUCGUGUUGGGGAAGCUUUUCAUGCAUCUUCUACUAGUGUGUUAGUAGAUGGAUUCACAGACCCUUCAAAUAACAAAAGUAGAUUCUGCUUGGGAUUGUUGUCAAAUGUUAAUCGUAAUUCAACAAUUGAAAACACUAGGCGACAUAUUGGAAAAGGUGUUCAUCUGUACUAUGUUGGUGGAGAGGUGUAUGCAGAGUGCCUCAGUGACAGCAGCAUAUUUGUACAGAGUAGGAACUGCAACUUUCAUCAUGGCUUUCAUCCUACCACUGUCUGUAAGAUUCCCAGCAGCUGCAGCCUCAAAAUUUUUAACAAUCAAGAGUUUGCCCAGCUUCUGGCUCAGUCUGUCAACCAUGGAUUUGAGGCAGUAUAUGAGCUCACCAAAAUGUGUACCAUUCGAAUGAGUUUUGUCAAGGGCUGGGGAGCAGAAUAUCACCGGCAAGAUGUUACCAGCACCCCAUGUUGGAUUGAGAUUCAUCUUCAUGGGCCUCUUCAGUGGCUGGAUAAAGUCCUCACUCAGAUGGGCUCCCCUCUAAACCCCAUUUCUUCUGUUUCAUAGUGCAGAAGUAUUCUUUUUCAGUUAUAUUAUUAGUGGACUUGUUUUAAUUUUAGGGAAAAUUUCAGUACAGAUACUGUGAGCUUACAUGGAAAACAGAUAUUACAGCUUAUUUUUUUUCUACAUAAUUGUGACCAAUACAUUUGUUUUUGUGAUGAAUCAACAUCUGUUUGUAUUCAUGUUCAUGUGAUUAACUCUCAAAAGUGUUGUGAAAGAUGCAGAGUGAGUAUUGUGCCCCAGUUCAGAAGUUUGGCAUUGAUCUUAAACUGGAACGUACUUUUUGCCUUAUUGUCCCAGAAAUUUUUUUAUUUGUUAAUUUUUUUUGGAAAAGUAAUACAUCACAUGAUGAAAAUUAUAACAGUAUAAGAAGGUGUUCAACGAGAGUUUUCCGUUCUAUUCUUGAUUCUCCAGAAGCUGUACUUUUACCAGUUUCUUAGUCCCACCAACUUUAAAAAAGUGUAAUCCAUUGUUUUAUAAAAGCAUAUGGUAGGGACUUAAAAGAAACUAUAAAAAAAAGUCUUUUAUUUGAAGGAACACUGCACUGCUCUAACAGGUAGUGUUCAGUAAAAGCCAAGUGAUAGUUUUCUAAGUGACAUAAAAUUUACAUUUAAUACAGCUAAAUGUUUGUCAGUGUAUUGUGACUUCACUCAAUAUUAUCUUUUGUAAAAUAUUUCCUUUUUUAAAAAAAACUUAUUGCAAACAACGGAUCUCCAGUAUAUGUCAUUUACUCAAAUCUGUCAUAAGUACUACUUAAUAGCUAGUGACAGUGCAUGCACGGCCUUGUUCAGCUGUGUUUGCUGCUUUUGGCCAAUGUUGCAAGAAUUCUAAUUUUGACAUGCAUUAAUCUUUUAUUUUGCACUCUGAUGGGUGACGGUUUUUAGAGUAACCUUUGGUGAAACACACUCAAGUGACUUGGACUUACAUGUUCAUCCUUGCUUCCUUGGUACCCCUUUUGUAUUAAACACUGCAAUUUAUAGAUUACAGUUAUAGGAAGUUAUGCUUUUUCUAGCUUUUGUUGUAUUUUCAACCUAGAUUAUAAGACUGUUAUUCUGUAGCUCCAAUUGAAGGUGCCUUUUUAAUUCCCUGCAGGAUGAUAUUAAUGUUGGAAAAUCAUGUACUUCAUCCCAUUGCUCUUACUUGCAUCUGUUUCCCCAUGCAAGGACCUGUGUCCUGUAGCCAUAGGAGCCUCUUCAGUCUGGCCCCAAGGAUGAGACCACCUGUCUGAUGCUUAAAUGAAUUGAGCUAGCUGAUUUGAAAACAUUCACAUAUCAAAUAAUAUAGACUAUUCUCUCAGUUACCAUGGGUGCUCUUUUUCCAUUUUUUUUUUUUUUAGCACCUAGGUGGAUACUAGUCUCCACAAUCCUCAGAGAGGAAAGACAUGAAAACUCUGAAAUAUUCAUUUAAUCAGUCAUGCUUAAGGGCUUUGAGUAAAGGACUCUUAACCUCUUUUUCUAGGGAGCAGUCAAAUGGACACUUAGUUAUGGCAUGAAGAACAAAAACAUUAUUUUGGAAAAAAAAUCACCUAACUUACCUAUUAGAAGAAGCUUAUUUUCCAGUGCCUUUUAAAAAUAUGUGGAGCCAUGUCAGUCUUCUGUUUAAAAUGUUAGUUUCAUUUGACUUUCUACUUUGCCCUUUCUGCUCUUAAGAGGAAAAAAAAUGCAUUUUUUGAGGAAAGGAGAAUGCAGUUCCUUUUGUUUUCCAUAACAUUAUUUAUUGCUUUUAUAAAGUGCAGCCAAUGGAUGGUUUUAGUUCCCUCAGACGAAGUGCCAUAUGUGUUUCAGCUCACAGUCCUUUGCUAAGUAAAAGGAAACUUUCUGACAGUCACCUGAGCCUUAAACAUAAGUUUUACAUGACAUGCAUUCUCAAUCUUCCAGAAUUGUGUCAGCCACACAAAAGAGGUUUAUUUGCUUAGUGAUAGAACUUAGCUAUUUACAUCAUUCUUUUACUUAGCAGGCUCAUGGUACAAUCUUUGGAACAAAUUUGUAGAAUAACUACCUAGGUUGACUGGCAGAUAGAUACAUGUAGUCAACUUCAGUGGGCUUGAACUGGUGGAAACUAUUGAAUUGUUUUAUUGAUGCUUACAACUGAGUUAAUUAAAAAUUGUUUUUAUUCAUGUAACAGCCUUUGGAGUUAGCAAGAUUUUAUGUGAUUGGCUUUUUCUGUGUUUUCUCUAAGGAGCUGUGUCUCGAAUGACAGUACUGAAGCUAUUAACUGGGGCUAUAGGGAAAAUAUAAAGAAGAGCUUUUGGCACCUUGCUUAACUAUCUCCAUCUUAAAACCUUUCCAAAACAUAUUACAUCAAGCUUAGCUCUCCACAUAUUUUAAUGAGAGUGCUGAAAUGACAGAAGCAGCCAAUUGGGAUUAAUCUGGGAAGGCUUUCAGAAAGAAGGAAAAUAAGACUUUGGAAAAGAA